rnacentral:sRNA from 1 species
UUUUCUCUGUGGAUGGCAGGAUGUUUGAACCUAGAAACCCCAUUUCUAAGUUACCAUGAAAUCCACAUUGUGCAGGGUCUUCCUGAGUGCUGUCAGGGGUUCAAAGAAGUUUCCAUGGCGUCCCUGUUCUCACAGGGCUUUUAGUGCCAACGAGGAGAGAGAAAUGGGAUUUGUGAAUCUAAAAUAUGGGUCAGAAAUACUGCAUGAUUCCCUUAUAUAAGGCAUCUAAAAUAGGCUCAUAGAGGCAGAGAGUGAAAAUGGUGGUUGCAGGGACUGGGGCAGGGGAGGAGGAAGUGGGGAGUUGCUGUGCAGCUGAUAUAAUGUUUCAGCUAUGCAAGAUGAGUAAGUCCUGGAUAUGGGCUGGACAACGUUGUGCCUACAGUGAACAAUACAGUAUUGUGCACUGAACAGUUUGUUUAGAGGGUAGUUCUUAUGUUAAAUGUCCUUAUCACAAUAAAACAUAAAUAAAUAAUAAAAUUAAAUGUUAGUUGAGAUGGCAAUGAGAGAAUGAUAUUCAAAGUUAAUUGUGGGAAGACUAGUGUCAGAGCACAUUAGGAGUGUGUAGCUUCGAGACUGCAGCUCUGGGUAGAGGGCAGCCGAGGUUGCUGGCAAGUAUUCUGGCAAAUGACUCAGCUUGGCCAGGCUUACACACAGAGUGACCGGGAUUGGCACAGAGGCCUGGGGUGGUCUCGCAGAGACAGAGGCCUGGAAUAGGUCAGAGGCACUGAAUCAAGGGCCCAAGGGGUGCCAACCAGCACUACUAGCAAGGUGCCUGCAGAGGACUCUGUUGAUUAGGGCCCCAGGUUGGCAGCAGGAGAGAAGCCAUGUCACCUGCAGACCUAGGGAAACCGAGGGAGGUUGGGGACAUGGGAUGAAGGCUGUUGUAGAAAUUCUGGUAUGGGAUAUAGGGCUAGUGAUGUCUAAGCAGUGGUGAGAAAAGCAAGACCCUUUGUCAGCCCUGGCAAGUGGACGCUGCUGCUGUUGGAAGGCACCGGGAGAAGGGUGAGGCUGAGACACAGCUAGGACAGAGAGUGCCCACUUCUGCUCUGGUGGGUGUGGGACCCUGCCGGGCCUGGUGGCCAUAGGACCUGGUGGCGCAGGACCCCCUCCCAGGUGCAGUGUGGGCAGAGAGGUCCCCUGCUUGGCAUGAGCAGACAGGUUGUGCGUCCCUGGAACCACUUCCUCACCGCGGUGUGGACGUGCCUGCCGGCCAGCAGCUGGAUUCCUGUGGGACACCUGACUCAGCCACUGUGUUCUGCGCUGUGCCCCUGGCCAGGCAUGAGCUGAGCACAUCUCAGGCUCCCUCCCACAGGGCCUGGUCACACACCCCAGGGCACGUAGUGGCUGAUGGUCCUUCCUGAGGGGAUGGGGCCACUCAGGAGGAGGGAUGUGCGAGGCCUGAGUGUUCAGAGCAUCCCAUCCCUAGGGGGCACAGGGAAGGUAGGCAGCUGCUCUGGGGGAAGGGCUGAUGUGUGGACCCCCACAGGAAGAAGGGACUCUGAUCAUCGAGGGGCUCCUCAACAUUGCCUGGGGGCUGAGGCGGCCCAUCCGGCUGCAGAUGCAGGAUGACCGGGAGCAGGUGCACCUCCCCUCCACCUCAUGGAUGCCCGGAUGGCCCAGCUGCCCUCCAAAGGAGCCAUCGCCCCAGAACGGGAACAUCACAGCACAGGGGCCAAGCAUUCAGCCAGUGCACAAGGCUGAGAGUUCCACAGACAGCUCGGGGCCCCUGGAGGAGGCAGAGGAGGCCCCCCAGCUGAUGCGGACCAAGAGCGACGCCAGUUGCAUGAGCCAGAGGAGGCCCAAGUGCCGCACCCCCGGUGAGGCCCAGCGCAUCCGGCGACACCGGUUCUCUAUCAACGGCCACUUCUACAAUCAUAAGACCUCCGUGUUUACUCCAGCCUACGGAUCCGUGACCAAUGUGAGGGUCAACAGCACCAUGACAACCCUGCAGGUGCUCACCCUGCUGCUGAACAAAUUUAGGGUGGAAGAUGGCCCCAGUGAGUUCGCACUCUACAUCGUUCACGAGUCUGGGGAGCGGACAAAAUUAAAAGACUGCGAGUACCCGCUGAUUUCCAGAAUCCUGCAUGGGCCAUGUGAGAAGAUCGCCAGGAUGUUCCUGAUGGAAGCUGACUUGGGCGUGGAAGUCCCCCAUGAAGUCGCUCAGUACAUUAAGUUUGAAAUGCCGGUGCUGGACAGUUUUGUUGAAAAAUU